rnacentral:rRNA from 1 species
UACGGAGGGGGCUAGCGUUGUUCGGAAUUACUGGGCGUAAAGCGCACGUAGGCGGCUUUGUAAGUUAGAGGUGAAAGCCCGGGGCUCAACUCCGGAAUUGCCUUUAAGACUGCAUCGCUUGAAUCCGGGAGAGGUGAGUGGAAUUCCGAGUGUAGAGGUGAAAUUCGUAGAUAUUGGGAAGAACACCGGUGGCGAAGGCGGCGCUCUGGACCGAUACUGACGCUGAGACGCGAAAGCGUGGGGAGCAAACAGG